rnacentral:rRNA from 1 species
UACGAAGGGGGCUAGCGUUGUUCGGAAUUACUGGGCGUAAAGCGCGUGUAGGCGGGUCUUUAAGUCAGGGGUGAAAUGCCAAGGCUCAACCUUGGAACUGCCUUUGAUACUGAGGAGCUUGAGUCCGGGAGAGGUGAGUGGAACUGCGAGUGUAGAGGUGAAAUUCGUAGAUAUUCGCAAGAACACCAGUGGCGAAGGCGGCUCACUGGCCCGGUACUGACGCUGAGGUGCGAAAGCGUGGGGAGCAAACAGG